GGGGGACAACAUUCCGAAAGGAAUGCUAAUACCGCAUACGUCCUACGGGAGAAAGCAGGGGAUCUUCGGACCUUGCGCUAAUAGAUGAGCCUAAGUCGGAUUAGCUAGUUGGUGGGGUAAAGGCCUACCAAGGCGACGAUCUGUAGCGGGUCUGAGAGGAUGAUCCGCCACACUGGGACUGAGACACGGCCCAG
rnacentral:rRNA from 1 species